rnacentral:sRNA from 1 species
AAGAAAAUUAUCCAUUUUCCUAUUUGGUGGAAAAUAGAGUUUUAAAGUAUGUCCUCAUGGUUUUCUGGAUUUCCUUGGUGCCUGUUGUCAUGUCCCCUUUUUUAUUUGCCUGAAGAUCCUGAGAUGGGAAGUGGGGACCAGAAGUGCCAGGAGCAGAAGAGACCUCAGGUGGUGGUGUCCACAAGAAAAGACUCUCAGCAGGGAACUCAGCUAUUUUUAAGGAGGAUUCGGAUAUUCUUUUCAGCUGAAAAGAAGCAGAUUCUGGGUCAUCAAGCUGGAGUCCAAGUCUGAAGAAACACAUGGACCAAACAAAUGAGGCAAAGUGGUUUGUGUAAGGAGAUAAUGAACACGUGAUGAAUAAAUCGAGGAGAAGAAGUAUGGAUCUGCAAGUGAGCUGCCAUGGUGGCAGUUUCCCAGCACCUGGACAGACUGUUUGUGGCAGAGCUGCCCACUUACAGCAGGGUUCCCUGCACUGGGCCAGGUGAUUUCCCAGCUCGGCCUCUCUCUAGCUUCUUGACACUGUGUAAGUGUUAUCAGAUGCACAAACGUUGGUUUUCUCAUCUGUUCAGGAGGGAAAUCAUGUCUGUGUUGUAGGAUUGUUGCAAAGGACAAGUGACACAAUAUAUCUGAACGUCUUGUGCAGUGAGGACAGCACAUCAGCACCUUCAUUCUCUUCCUUUAAGCCUGUCUCAAUGCCAUCGUUGUCUAAAGCAGCCAGCAUAAUGCAGCCUCUGUACAGGUCUGCACGAAAAGAAAGAAAACCAUUGGGAGUAUUAACUCUGUGGAAGAAGGCAAAAGGAUACAUAAGACCCCAGGUUUAAUCCCUAAUAGCCAACACACACUCACACAGACACACACACACACACACACACACAUACACACAUACAUACACACGAGAGGGAGGAUUGAAGGAAGGCGGAAGGGAGAAAGAAAGAUUAAGAGGUAAAGGGAGGAAGAGAAGCCAGUGCUUAUGAUGGUUUAUACCCAUUGUCAAGUUCACUAAACAUGGAACCACUUAGGAGAUGCACUUCUGAAGAUGUCUGGCAAUAUGUUAUCAGAAAGACCUAACUGAGGAAAAUAAUACACCUUGAGUCUGGGUGACUUUAUCCCAGGGGCUGGUGGUUUAGAUGGAGUGAGAAGAGAAGGUGGAGGAAGCAUGAGCAGUAACGUCUCAGUACCCUCUGACUCUGGAUGCAGUAUGACCUGGAGUCCCUGCUGCUGUAGCUCAGGUGACUCUUGCCUCCACAUCGCCCCUGCCGUGAUGAACAUCAAACCACAGGGAUGAACCACAAUGAGCCAUUAUCAUGUAUGAAGUCAGCAAUAAGGAAGGCAACUAAUACAAUCAUUUACAUUUAUAAACCUAUAUAUGCAUCUACAUGUAAUUAUAUAUCUAUAACCCUAUCUGCAUAGAUACAUUAUAUGUAUGUGUGUUACUUAUUAACAGCAUAGUCCAAAGUUGAGUUCUUCCGUUUCAGACCCAGAAGACACUAAUAGCCUUACAGUGCUGAAGAGCAUCUGAAGAAGACUCAUUAGAUGUGCUGGGUAAGUCAAGAAGGCUAAUGUGGGACUUCAGUCAUCCAAGCAUAAUGCCACUUUGUUAGAGUUGGUUCUUUGCAGUUUGGUGUGGGGUGUACUAUUUAUGCUCCGGAAUCACCUAGGAUCAUAUUUUGUCUUUGUCACUUACUAGGUAUGCAACAUUGAACAAAUUUCUAAGAAUCUUUUGUCUUCAGUUCGAUGAUAUGGGAAAUGAAUAAAAGUGCUUAUGCUAUGGGGCUGGUGAAGGAAUUAAGGAAGGCUGUGCAUAUAAAAGGCUUAGUGUCAGCCAGCACAUAGGAAGCAGUCAGUUGUGCUGUAGAAGGAUGACUACCAUUACCACUUAGGAGGAGGAUAACCCAGGCUCAAUGGAGCAGUGCUCUUAGCCAUGUGAUUUUUUUUAAGCCAGCUACUGGAGUUUUCUGUGCUUCUGUCUCUAACAGAAAUGAUUCUUAGAGAUGCCUGGCCUGUUCAUUUCAUAAAUUGUAAACUCACAGAGAAUACUAAUAAGGGAGGCUCUUUUAGAACAAGAUAAAGUGGGUCACAGAUGCAAGCGAUGGAUAUUAAGUGAAGGGCUUGUGUACAGGUUGUGUUGCUGAACUCUUUGGGCUUUCAGCUUCAAAAGUGUAAAUGAAAAUGUAUUGCCCCCACCGCCACCACCAAAAAGCUUCCUCUUCCCUUCCCUGUUACAUUAGAACCACCUAUGGUCUUCAGAGGUGGUGCCAGGUCACCUAGAAGAGGUGUUUAUUAUUCCCACUUCGGAUAUCUCAAGCUCUGACUUGCUAAGUCCCCUCUCCACACACAUUAGCACUUUGCAGCUUUCUGUUACAGUCAGAGGUCCUGCCAUUCUCCAAGGCUCCUGCAGGCUCUGGGGCUUUGGGCUGUUGUUUUGUUUAAUUCACUUUCCACUUUUUCUCUUUACUCCAUACCCAUGUUUCUUUUCCAGGUCCUUGAACACCUACAUACAAAUUACCAUAUCAAUCCUCAAGGGAUUAGAUCUUGAGUUUGUAUUCCCUCCGUGCUGAAAAUCAGUCCCAUGAUUAAUCUCUUUGAUUAUCAUGAUGGGCCACACUCUCAAUCCAUCACUGUCAGCUGUACCGCACCAGAACCACCUCAGCCUCAUAUUCCCAGUCCCCAUCAGCUAAUCCACACAAUUCCACAGCCUCCUCUUACACACUCUAAUGUGGACCUCAGAUCAAAGCAAAGCCGUGCUUUGUAAUGUCCCUUGUCCAUUGCACGGUGUGACUGAGCCCAUCCUUCACUUCUAAUGCUACUCCACACCAAUACUUCUCUAUGCAGAGGAAUCUGUAGCCUGCAUUCCUUUCAAAACCUAGCGUGGACCAUUUCCCCAAGAUAGGUUCUGAUUGCUUGUUUUCCUUGUCCACUACCCUGCCUUCCUUGGCUUUUCAAGCACUCAGCAUCUAGCCUGGCAUUGCUAUUAUACAAUGACGUUGUCAUUAUUUCCCAGUGUCUUGUUCUUGUGACUUCAUACCAUCCCGGCUCCAUUCAACUGUAAUUUUCUUCAGUUUUAUUUAUGUCUUAUUUUUUUAAGAAUAAAAAUGCUUACUAAGUACACUGUAUUCAAUAAGUGGUAGUGGUAUAGGAAGACACCACCUAUAGUCUCUCAAAAAGUUCUGAAUGUACGUGUCUACUGAAUGCAUUUAUGUACAGACUUUUGGGGAGGAUUUUUUCAUUCUUUUAUUGGAUAUA